GCUCCUGGCGGUAGCAAGUUUACUCGAAACUCUACUCCACCUGCCGGGAUUGAGAUAUUGUAUGACUAUGGUCGAGAAGAUAAUGAUUAAAUCUCCAUCUUUUUCAAUAGUGACAAAUAAAGAUUGAGAUGAUCCAUGACUGCUGCAGAAGAUAACGAGCAGAGUCCAGCAUCUUGUUUGUGUUUAUUGAAACAAGAUAAAUGGUAGACAGUAUGAGAUCUUUCAUUGCUAUGCAUUUGAUUUUUCUCUGAAGAAGGAUUUUAUGUUGCAGACUUGAGCAAAACUGAAAUGGAAUGAUUUGGAAUUCUUUAAAA
rnacentral:misc_RNA from 1 species